rnacentral:rRNA from 1 species
CGGGGGGAGCAAGCGUUGUUCGGAUUUACUGGGCGUAAAGGGCGCGUAGGCGGCCACCGCAAGUCGACUGUGAAAUCUCCGGGCUUAACCCGGAACGGUCAGCCGAUACUGCGGGGCUAGAGUGCAGAAGGGGCAACUGGAAUUCUCGGUGUAGCGGUGAAAUGCGUAGAUAUCGAGAGAAACACCUGCGGCGAAGGCGGGUUGCUGGGCUGACACUGACGCUGAUGCGCGAAAGCUAGGGGAGCGAACGGGAUUAGAUACCCCGGUAGUCCUAGCCUUAAACGAUGAAUGCUUGGUGUCUGGGGUUCUAUAGUCCCCGGGUGCCGUCGCUAACGCUUUAAGCAUUCCGCCUGGGGAGUACGGUCGCAAGACUG